rnacentral:rRNA from 1 species
CUAACCCUGCAGUCGACGAUGAUGGGAGCUUGCUCCUGGAUUAGUGGCGAACGGGUGAGUAACACGUGAGUAACCUGCCCUUAACUCUGGGAUAAGCCUGGGAAACUGGGUCUAAUACCGGAUAUGACUCCUCAUCGCAUGGUGGGGGGUGGAAAGCUUUAUUGUGGUUUUGGAUGGACUCGCGGCCUAUCAGCUUGUUGGUGAGGUAAUGGCUUACCAAGGCGACGACGGGUAGCCGGCCUGAGAGGGUGACCGGCCACACUGGGACUGAGACACGGCCCAGACUCCUACGGGAGGCAGCAGUGGGGAAUAUUGCACAAUGGGCGCAAGCCUGAUGCAGCGACGCCGCGUGAGGGAUGACGGCCUUCGGGUUGUAAACCUCUUUCAGUAGGGAAGAAGCGAAAGUGACGGUACCUGCAGAAGAAGCGCCGGCUAACUACGUGCCAGCAGCCGCGGUAAUACGUAGGGCGCAAGCGUUAUCCGGAAUUAUUGGGCGUAAAGAGCUCGUAGGCGGUUUGUCGCGUCUGCCGUGAAAGUCCGGGGCUCAACUCCGGAUCUGCGGUGGGUACGGGCAGACUAGAGUGAUGUAGGGGAGACUGGAAUUCCUGGUGUAGCGGUGAAAUGCGCAGAUAUCAGGAGGAACACCGAUGGCGAAGGCAGGUCUCUGGGCAUUAACUGACGCUGAGGAGCGAAAGCAUGGGGAGCGAACAGGAUUAGAUACCCUGGUAGUCCAUGCCGUAAACGUUGGGCACUAGGUGUGGGGGACAUUCCACGUUUUCCGCGCCGUAGCUAACGCAUUAAGUGCCCCGCCUGGGGAGUACGGCCGCAAGGCUAAAACUCAAAGGAAUUGACGGGGGCCCGCACAAGCGGCGGAGCAUGCGGAUUAAUUCGAUGCAACGCGAAGAACCUUACCAAGGCUUGACAUGAACCGGUAAUACCUGGAGACAGGUGCCCCGCUUGCGGCCGGUUUACAGGGGGGGCAUGGUUGUCGCCACUCCUGCCGGGAAAGUUGGGUUAAUUCCG